rnacentral:rRNA from 1 species
UACGUAGGGUGCGAGCGUUGUCCGGAAUCAUUGGGCGUAAAGCGCGUGUAGGCGGUCCGGUAAGUCCGCUGUGAAAGUCGAGGGCUCAACCCUCGAAUGCCGGUGGAUACUGUCGGGCUUGAGUACGGGAGAGGCGAGUGGAAUUCCUGGUGUAGCGGUGAAAUGCGCAGAUAUCAGGAGGAACGCCGAUUGCGAAGGCGGCUCGCUGGAACGUUACUGACGCUGAGACGCGAAAGCGUGGGGAGCAAACAGG